rnacentral:rRNA from 1 species
CGUCUAUAUACGUAUAGCAUAUCAAUAAGCGGAGGAAAAGAAACUAACUAGGAUUCCCUCAGUAACGGCGAGUGAAGCGGGAAGAGCUCAAAUUUGAAAUCUUCAAGGUUCUACCUUGACGAAUUGUAGUUUAAAGAGGUGUUUUCUGUUGGAGUUUUGGUAAAAGUUCUUUGGAAUAGGACAUCAUAGAGGGUGAGAAUCCCGUAUUUGACCAUUAUCUCCAGCUUUGUGAUACACUUUCAAAGAGUCGGAUUGUUUGGGAAUGCAGUCCAAAAUGGGUGGUAAAUUUCAUCUAAAGCUAAAUACUGGCGAGAGACCGAUAGCGAACAAGUACCGUGAGGGAAAGAUGAAAAGAACUUUGAAAAGAGAGUUAAACAGUACGUGAAAUUGUCAAAAGGGAAGCGUUUGACACCAGUGUUGUUUUCUCGAAAAUCAAUUAAGAAUGGCCUGAUUUUGUGUUGUAUUGACCUUAUCAGCUUUCUGCACUUUUUUCGAUAGUCAUUUUUAAUGCACUUUUCGGUUAACAAGUCAACAUCAAUUUCUUUUGUUGUAAAAGAGUAUUAGGAAGGUGGCUUUCUUUUCGGAGAAAGUGUUUAUAGCCUUAUGCCUCUACAAUCGGAGAGAUUGAGGUCUGCAGCGUAGAUCCUUCGGGGUUAGAUACAUUUGUGCUAAGUUAUAGCCUUUCAUAGACAACUUGUUGACUAUGAUCAGUCAUGUAGCUUACUCGCUUAUGCUAUUUUACCUACGCUUAGGAUGUGACUGAUAUGUAGUCGUA